GCCUUGGGGGUCCUGCGAAGCUCGCCGGGGCGGAGCCUCUAUCUGGUGGGUCUGAGGUGUGUCCUCGGUGGCUUGGGCAGGUGCCUUUCGAAACUGCGCGGGAAUCGUCCUGCAGGUGGACUCCAGAGAAUGUACAGCUCUCAGGAUAUCUGUCACAAGGAGUGGAGUGCUAGCAUCCCAGCUGCAAGUCUGUCGUUCAAGGUUCUUGCUGCAGCCAGCAGUGUCCUUGGAGUCUAGUUCAAAGCUAGAGAGAGUGAACCACGGAGCCGGAGCCAUUGGUGGAGGGGCUGGCCUGAAGGAAGUGAAGUGUUUCAGCCAGAAUGUACUGACGCACGACCAGGAAACCACAAGACUGGUGGAAACCUUUCCAAGCCUGUGUCCUGUGAUCAAAAGAGGUACAGGAAGCGGCUGUGCCAAGAGUCCUUUCUGCUGCUGGCUGGAACCCUGAGCCUCAGAGGCUCUCUGAGUCAACUCCCCGAGCAGAGGCUGUCACCCAAGGAGCCAUUUCUUGUUUGCUCUGAGGUGGCCCCACAGACAUGGAAUCAACGUGACAAUUCAAAAGGAAUGAUGGCUCCAUGAUUCUUGUUCCCUGAUGCUCUUCAUGUGACCUACGUGUCAGCUCUAUAGGACUUCUAGAAGCUUCAAGUUGGCUUCUCCUCAAGAUGAUUCUGAAAAUGCUGCCGAGCUGCGGUGCCCAAAUGAGGACAUGAGGUAGUUCUGGGCCUCCAGGAGGAACGAUUCCAUCAUGUCCACCAGUUCCACACGGUUGAAAACCGGCAACA